rfam:Triticum aestivum genome assembly, contig: Triticum_aestivum_CS42_TGACv1_scaffold_019500_1AS
GGAUGCGAUCAUACCAGCACUAAAGCAUCGGAUCCCAUCAGAACUCCAAAGUUAAGCGUGCUUGGGCGAGAGUAGUACUAGGAUGGGUGACCUCCUGGUAAGUCCUUGUGUUGCAUUCC